rnacentral:lncRNA from 1 species
GAGGCAGGCGCUUUCAGUGACGUCAGGCCCGCACGACGGUCUGCGCAUGCGCCUUGCCGGAAGCAGCGGGGACUGCUCAGCGGAUGGGUUACAAGUAAGAACGUAAACGAAGGAGUUUGUAAAGUGUGAAGCAACUCCUUGCGUGAGGGAACCGUGAGAGACCGGAAUCUUAUAAUUUGAGUUCCUUGGUGAAAACUGCAGAACCACAGCUAAUGAUUGCUGAAGAGAGGCUUGACACUUCCCUCAGCUCAGUUUAGCAAACCUAUGUGAGCUCUACAUGGACAUCUUCAGUACCUCCUCUUUGGGACCUGCUUCCCACUUACACACCCGUGGUCAUUAAACAGUCUGGCUUCAGUUUUCGGCCACAUCUGGCAAACUCUAGGUUUCCUAAGUCUCUGAUGAGCUAAAAAAUCCUUUUCUAUACUAACAUGGAGAGAAAAUCUAGAGCAGACCUUGGGACAUUAGUCUUCUUGGAUGCUCAAAAGCUUGGGAACAACCAGUGAGCCCCAAGCCACCUCCAUUUCCCCACUGCAUCUGCGAGUCCGUCAUACUUGGAGAACUCCCAUUCACCCCGUCUCCAUCUGUCUACAUGUUUAGGUAAAGAAUGAAUUCAAUUUUAGAAGUAACAUCGCUGAAAGUUGGGAGGGGACACUAGGAAGUUGAAUUGUUAAUGAUCCAUCUGAGAGAAUCAGAGGUUUUCUUUCUAGAUCCUCCUUUCACCUCAGUAUGCAUUGCGUCAGUCCUGAUGUAGUCUUCCCUUCCCCUACUCUCCAAAGAGAGCAUACCAUCUUUAACUUUUUUUUUCCUGGGCUUCUUCCCUUAGAAUCCAAUUUAAAACAUUCUUCUAG